AGAAAGUUAUAAAUGAAGCGGUCUGGAAAGGCCCGCCAAAGACGGUAACAGCCCGGUAGUUGAAAUGGCUUUCCCUCCAGAGUGGAUCCUGAGUACGGCGGAACACGUGAAAUUCCGUCGGAAUCCGGGAGGACCAUCUCCCAAGGCUAAAUACUCCCUAGUGACCGAUAGUGAACCAGUACCGUGAGGGAAAGGUGAAAAGCACCCCGGAAGGGGAGUGAAACAGUUCCUGAAACCGUGUGCCUACAAGUAGUUAGAGCCCGUUAAUGGGUGAUAGCGUGCCUUUUGUAGAAUGAACCGGCGAGUUACGAUUUGUUGCAAGGUUAAGCGGAAAAAGCGGAGCCGUAGCGAAAGCGAGUCUGAAUAGGGCGCAUAAGUAACAGGUCGUAGACCCGAAACCAGGUGAUCUACCCAUGUCCAGGAUGAAGGUAAGGUAAUACUUACUGGAGGUCCGAACCCACGCACGUUGAAAAGUGCGGGGAUGAGGUGUGGGUAGCGGAGAAAUUCCAAUCGAACUUGGAGAUAGCUGGUUCUCUCCGAAAUAGCUUUAGGGCUAGCCUCGAGGUAAAGAGUCAUGGAGGUAGAGCACUGUUUGGACUAGGGGCCCUUCUCGGGUUACCGAAUUCAGAUAAACUCCGAAUGCCAUGUACUUAUACUCGGGAGUCAGACUGCGAGUGAUAAGAUCCGUAGUCGAAAGGGAAACAGCCCAGACCACCAGUUAAGGUCCCCAAAUAUAUGUUAAGUGGAAAAGGAUGUGGGGUUGCUUAGACAACCAGGAUGUUGGCUUAGAAGCAGCCACCAUUGAAAGAGUGCGUAAUAGCUCACUGGUCGAGUGACCCCGCGCCGAAAAUGUACCGGGGCUAAACAUAUUACCGAAACUGUGGAUGAACCUCUUUAGAGGUUCGUGGUAGGAGAGCGUUCUAAGGGCGGUGAAGUCAGACCGGAAGGACUGGUGGAGCGCUUAGAAGUGAGAAUGCCGGUAUGAGUAGCGAAAGAAGGGUGAGAAUCCCUUCCACCGAAUAUCUAAGGUUUCCUGAGGAAGGCUCGUCCGCUCAGGGUUAGUCGGGACCUAAGCCGAGGCCGAUAGGCGUAGGCGAUGGACAACAGGUAGAGAUUCCUGUACCAGUGCUAAUUGUUUAACCGAUGGGGUGACACAGAAGGAUAGGGAAUCGCACGAAUGGAAAUGUGCGUCCAAGCAGUGAGUGUGAGAAGUAGGCA
rnacentral:rRNA from 1 species